rnacentral:rRNA from 1 species
GAUGAACGCUGGCGGCGUGCCUAAUACAUGCAAGUCGAGCGAACGGACGAGAAGCUUGCUUUUCUGAUGUUAGCGGCGGACGGGUGAGUAACACGUGGAUAACCUACCUAUCAGACUGGGAUAACUUCGGGAAACCGGAGCUAAUACCGGAUAAUAUUUUGAACCGCAUGGUUCAAAAGUGAAAGACGGUCUUGCUGUCACUUAUAGAUGGAUCCGCGCUGCAUUAGCUAGUUGGUAAGUUAACGGCUUACCACGGCAACGAUGCAUAGCCGACCGGCGAGGGUGAUCGGCGACACUGGAACUGAGACACGGUCCAGACUCCUACGGGAGGCAGCAGUAGGGAAUCUUCCGCAAUGGGCGAAAGCCUGACGGAGCAACGCCGCGUGAGUGAUGAAGGUCUUCGGAUCGUAAAACUCUGUUAUUAGGGAAGAACAUAUGUGUAAGUAACUGUGCACAUCUUGACGGUACCUAAUAAGAAAGCCACGGCUAACUACGUG